rnacentral:rRNA from 1 species
GACGAACGCUGGCGGCGUGCUUAACACAUGCAAGUCGAACGGUGAUGCUCCAGCUUGCUGGAGUGGAUCAGUGGCGAACGGGUGAGUAACACGUGAGCAACCUGCCCCAGACUCUGGAAUAAGCGCUGGAAACGGCGUCUAAUACUGGAUACGAAACUGGCCCGCAUGGGCAUGGUUUGGAAAGUUUUUCGGUUUGGGAUGGGCUCGCGGCCUAUCAGCUUGUUGGUGAGGUAAUGGCUCACCAAGGCGACGACGGGUAGCCGGCCUGAGAGGGCGACCGGCCACACUGGGACUGAGACACGGCCCAGACUCCUACGGGAGGCAGCAGUGGGGAAUAUUGCACAAUGGGCGAAAGCCUGAUGCAGCGACGCCGCGUGAGGGAUGACGGCCUUCGGGUUGUAAACCUCUUUCAGCAGGGAAGAAGCGAAAGUGACGGUACCUGCAGAAGAAGCACCGGCUAACUACGUG